CAGUCGCCGCGGGAAAACGUAGGUGGCAAGCGUUGUCCGGAAUUAUUGGGCGUAAAGGGCUCGCAGGCGGUUUCUUAAGUCUGAUGUGAAAGCCCCCGGCUCAACCGGGGAGGGUCAUUGGAAACUGGGAAACUUGAGUGCAGAAGAGGAGAGUGGAAUUCCACGUGUAGCGGUGAAAUGCGUAGAGAUGUGGAGGAACACCAGUGGCGAAGGCGACUCUCUGGUCUGUAACUGACGCUGAGGAGCGAAAGCGUGGGGAGCGAACAGGAUUAGAUACCCCAGUAGUCCCUGUCUCUUAUAC
rnacentral:rRNA from 1 species